rnacentral:rRNA from 1 species
CCUACGGGUGGCAGCAGUGAGGAAUAUUGGUCAAUGGACGAGAGUCUGAACCAGCCAAGUAGCGUGAAGGAUGACUGCCCUAUGGGUUGUAAACUUCUUUUAUCUGGGAAUAAAACAGGGUACGCAUACCCUCCCGUAUGUACCAGAUGAAUAAGGAUCGGCUAACUCCGUGCCAGCAGCCGCGGUAAUACGGAGGAUCCGAGCGUUAUCCGGAUUUAUUGGGUUUAAGGGGCGCGGAGGUGGAUUGCUAAGUCAGUUGUGAAAGUUUGCGGCUCAAACGUAAAAUUGCAGUUGAAACUGGCAGGCUUGAGUACAGUAGAGGUAUGCGGAAUUCGUGGUGUAGCGGUGAAAUGCUUAGAUAUCACGAAGAACUCCGAUUGCGAAGGCAGCUCACUGGACUGCAACUGACACUGAGGCUCGAAAGUGUGGGGAUCAAACAGGAUUAGAUACCCGAGUAGUC